CCUUUUCAGUACGCUGUAGAGAAACCAAACAUCAUUUGGUCACAGUGCAUGUCGAAGUUUCAUCUGACAGUGAUCUCCAUGUGUGCCUGAAGACAGCUGAAGAGACAUUGUGUUUGUAAGAUGAUAUUUCUUACAGACAUUAGAAAUCAAGGCUACAACCAAGAAAACAGAUUAUUGCAGCCACGAGUUACUGGUUGCUUGCCAUCAUCUGUCACAGCCAGCAGAGGUCAAGGGCCCUACAUUUAUUUUCCAAAUAUGACUGAGUCAUUUAUUAGUGCUUGCAGCUUUGCUGUCCUGGUUUACAAGCUGUUCUCUGUUUGGUUUCCCACACCCUUUUGGGUUAUGCAACAAGUAUUUUGCUUGCAACAGUAUUCUCCUAUUAUCUAACACGCUCUAAAUGCCACCAGUUCCAGAGAAAAGCUGUUUGGCAUGAACAAAGUAAAUGUACAGCAUGCUACAGGUGUUGUUAAUGCCUGUUGGCAUUAAUACAGUAAGUGGCCGAAAAACUUGCGGGUCCCACAUGUCUGCAGCUGGACUUGGACUGAGCCAGGGAGGGGAAUGGUGACAAAGCAUCACUGCAGAAGAGGAACCAGCCUUCCUUCCCAGUGGCAAAUAUACUCAGUGCUGAUUUGGAGUGCUGUGUCACAGCUUUUAGGAUUUGUGUUUGGACCUCACAGCCUGAGGAGUAACCCCAACACAGGAGGCUUGCCUCAUUUUCAAGGAGACACCCUGAAGGUGCAGAAAGCUGGUUUUCACUUGGGUUAUUUUGCAGAGCUGGACACUUCCAAAGAAAGAAAACAGCCAAAAGGAAGUGCUCCUUUCAGUCUGCUGCCUUCAGCUACAUAAUGAGUGACUGCAGAGAAGAUGGACCCAGACUUCAUAGUCAUAGAAUCACAGAAUGGCUUGGGUUGGAAGGGACCUCAAGGAUCAUGAAGCUCCAAUCUCCCUGCUGCAUGCUGGGCUGCCAGCCUCCAUAUCUUCUACCCUCUGAGUUGGAAAAAUGCCCAUCUGCCAGUCCUCCCCUGCCAGCCUAAUAGUGCUGCAGCUGGCAGCACGGCUGCCUGCAGGCCCUGCUCCUCUUGGUUUCACUCUUUAGGACUGUUGGUAGACUACGUAGUCCUUUGUAAUGAGAUAGAGAGAAGGCUGAAGUUACUGCUGUAUUCUACAAGAGGCUCAUCUCCUGCCACAGCAGUUAGUAAGUAAAAGUCUUCUGGCAAAAUUCAAUUUUAAAUAAAUAACCACACAAAAAUAGGUAUGGUCCUCGC
rnacentral:lncRNA from 1 species